rnacentral:rRNA from 1 species
AUUGAACGCUGGCGGCAUGCCUUACACAUGCAAGUCGAACGGCAGCACGGGAGCAAUCCUGGUGGCGAGUGGCGAACGGGUGAGUAAUAUAUCGGAACGUGCCCAGUCGUGGGGGAUAACGCAGCGAAAGCUGUGCUAAUACCGCAUACGAUCUAUGGAUGAAAGCGGGGGAUCGCAAGACCUCGCGCGAUUGGAGCGGCCGAUAUCAGAUUAGGUAGUUGGUGGGGUAAAGGCUCACCAAGCCGACGAUCUGUAGCUGGUCUGAGAGGACGACCAGCCACACUGGAACUGAGACACGGUCCAGACUCCUACGGGAGGCAGCAGUGGGGAAUUUUAGACAAUGGGCGCAAGCCUGAUCCAGCAAUGCCGCGUGCAGGAUGAAGGCCUUCGGGUUGUAAACUGCUUUUGUACGGAGCGAAAAGGCUCUCUCUAAUACAGGGGGCUCAUGACGGUACCGUAAGAAUAAGCACCGGCUAACUACGUGCCAGCCGCCGGGGUAAGAC